rnacentral:rRNA from 1 species
AUUGAACGCUGGCGGCAUGCCUUACACAUGCAAGUCGAACGGCAGCACGGGUGCUUGCUCCUGUUGGCGAGUGGCGAACGGGUGAGUAAUACAUCGGCACCUGUCCCGUAGUUUUGGAUUGCCCUGCGAAAGCCGGAGUAAUACCCCAAACGCACCACGGAUUACAGCGGGGGACCUGGGUGCUUUGCGCUGUCGGGGUUGCAGUGGCCGGUUUAGCUCGUGGGUGGGGGAAAGGCCCACCAAGGCGACGAGCAGGGUACGGUCGGAGAGGAGGAUCAUCGACACGGGAACGGGGACACGGCCCAGACUCCUGCGGGAGGCAGCAGUGGGGAAUUUUGGACAAUGGGCGAAAGCCUGAUCCAGCAAUGCCGCGUGUGUGAAGAAGGCCUUCGGGUUGUAAAGCACUUUUGUGGGGAAAGAAAUGCUUGGGUCUAAUACAGAGGGGGGAUGACGGUACCGGAAGAAUAAGCACCGGCUAACUACGUG